CAGAAAGGAAUUCAGAUCUGCCGCUGCCGGAGCUUCUAGCCGAGCCUCAACCGCCGGGAACGCCGCUGCCGCCACUAAGCUCCACUGCCGAUCGCCGCUGCUGCUUGGGGCUGACUGCCGGGUUGCCGCCGAACCGGUUCAGAGACCGCCGCUGUUUUGGUUCAACCGUUCCUUCUUCG